AUUCCGUAAGUAGUGGCGAGCGAACGCGGAACAGCCUAAACCGAUGCGCUUGCGUGUCGGGGUUGCGGGACCCGGUUACGGUACAGCAAAGUCUAGUAGAAUGUUCUGGAAAGUUCAAUCAAAGAAGGUGAUAAUCCUGUAAACGAAAGACCAAGCUGACCUACGGGUAUCCCAAGUAGGGCGUCACACGUGAAACGACGUCUGAAUCCGGGGGGCCCACCCUCCAAGGCUAAAUACUAAUCAGAAACC
rnacentral:rRNA from 1 species